CAUGUAACUACAACUAUUUGUUGUAACCCAAUUCAAAAGAAGACACCAUGGAUUUGUAGAUCUCGAAAAUAAGCCUGUUCUCGAACUCUGUAUUGGAAUAGGUGGCGGGAGCACCUCUGGCUUUGGGCAUCCUCUUCGACCCAAAAACAUUGGCGGUGUUCGAAGAUCCAGAAUUCUCAGCUACCCUCAGCAUCAUGUUCAUGUACGCGUUCUUCAAUUUGCUCCACAGCCUCAGCGGCGACGCCGCCCUAAUCAGCCGCAGCUUCGGCGCCAGCCGCACCCGCCACGAACGCUUCGUCGCUCCUCCCAAUCUCGCCACUUGCAUUUUGCUUCUGUUUUUGGGCGACAGCCUGUUGUAGCCUCUCCUCCUCCUCAUACUCGACGCAAAUUGGAUAAUUUCCAUUGCUCAAUUAAAUGUGUGUGCUGCUACAGAUCUAGAGAGAGAAAGAGGAAGAGAGGUAUAUAGGUUAUCGUAUUGAAUUGAGUGUGAGAGAUUUUGAGUUUAUAAUGGCGCGGAAGAUUAUUCGGGUCAAUAAAGACGGGUGGCUGGAAACUAAUUUUAAAUGCGAAUAAUUAAUACUCUAUCAUGUGGAUUGCAAGGAACUAUCAUAAAUUGAUUAAUCAUCUCCAAUUUCUUGGUUACUAUUUAAUUUUGGUCAGAAAUUAAUGAUAUCCUCGAGUUUGAUGUUGGAGUGCUACUAAUAUAAAUAGUAUCUUUUCAAUAUUGGUCAGAAAUGAUAUCCUCGAGUUUGAUGUUGGAGUGCUACUAAAAUAAAUAGUAUCUUUUCAAUAUUCAACGAGUUUAAUCCGAGGAAUAAGAAGAAUAUAUUUAUAUUAUUUGGCUACUGAAUAUUAUCACAAAUAUACAAUAAACUGGGGGAGUUUGCGCAUCCAGCGCAGUCACAUAAAUGCAGUCAAAUUAUCAUGCUCAUACUUUCUUGUUUCACAUUUUUNUCUCGAAAAUAAGCCUGUUCUCGAACUCUGUAUUGGAAUAGGUGGCGGGAGCACCUCUGGCUUUGGGCAUCCCUUCGACCCAAAACAUUGGCGGUGUUCGAAGAUCCAGAAUUCUCAGCUACCCUCAGCAUCAUGUUCAUGUACGCGUUCUUCAAUUUGCUCCACAGCCUCAGCGGCGACGCCGCCCUAACUCAGCCGCACGCUUCGGCGCCAGCCGCACCGCCACGAACGCUCGUCGCUCCUCCCAAUCUCGCCACUUGCAUUUUGCUUCGUUUUUGGGCGACAGCCUGUUGUAGCCUCUCCUCCUCCUCAUACUCGACGCAAAUUGGAUAAUUUCCAUUGCUCAAUUAAAUGUGUGUGC
rnacentral:lncRNA from 1 species